rnacentral:rRNA from 1 species
GACGAAGGAUGCAAGCGUUAUCCGGAUUCAUUGGGUUUGAAGGGAGCGUAGGUGGCCUUGUAAGUCAGUGGUGAAAUCCUGUCGCUUAACGAUAGAAUUGCCAUUGAUACUGCAGGGCUUGAGUACAGUUGCCGUUGGCGGAAUAUGACAUGUAGUGGUGAAAUACAUAGAUAUGUCAUAGAACACCGAUUGCGAAGGCAGCUGACGAAACUGUAACUGACACUGAGGCUCGAAAGUGUGGGGAUCAAACAGG